ensembl:lncRNA
GUGAUGACAGCGACUAACGAGCCAUAUUCUAGAACACCGUGUAAAGCUGUCACACCAUGAAAUGAAGAGCAUCUCAGUCAGGUCAUACACGCAAAUCAGCUAACAGUGACUGUGUUGAAAAACAAUGUUUUGUGGAUGAGAAUUGGCUUGAUGAAAUAGUGUUAUUGUGCUCUUUCCAUCUAUUGUAGUUUCCAUGGAAAUAAACAAGAGGCAUUACUUUCUGACUGACCUAUGAGAAUUCAGGAAUGUGAAGCACAAUAAAUGGAUCAAGAAAAAAAAAAAAAAAAAUGAUGCACAAGCCAGACAUAAUACAACAUAUCUUGAUCUGAUGCAAUGCAUAAUCAGAGGAUAUCAAUGGAUGAAUCUGAAUAUUUCCAUGAAUUUUCCCAACUUAAAAACUGUUUGUGUCCAAAACACCACAGAGAUGAGCCAAAGGAGUAAAAGCAAAACUGAUUCAUGUCAGCUGCACUCAGCAUCUGCACAGCUUUCCCAGGCAAUGGGACGAUGGACUGACACAAAGUUGCUAAGCAAUCAUUCCGUGCUUUGCUUUGCUUUGCUUGCAGAUGCAUCACCAGGUAGCUCACAUCCCAAGCAUUCUCCUGCAACCCUUACAUACCAACCUAAUUUUCCACUGGCUGCCACUCCGUCAGAGAUCUAUUGAGAAGAGACAAAACAGUCCUCAAACUCUCACUAACGGCUGGGCGGGAGCAGCCCGUGAGGAGGGGAGUUUGAAUGCACCAAUCAGAAAAAAACACUCCCUCUAGCCUGAACGGGAUUGGCUGAACACAGCGGGGACCACGCGAAAGUGAGCAGCUCUGAGUCAAAGUCUGCCUAGCAACCCAGAACGUUCUGGAAGCUUUAAGGGUUGAUGGGCAGCAGGUGCUGGUUCUGUCUGCUGCACUGCAGCUGGGCGCUGUGGGGAUUUGCAGUGUUUAGCCCCCUGCUCUUCCAGCUAUGGUGCAAUCGUGCUGUUUUAUUUGCUUUCUUUUUUUCCAUCGUUGUGAAUUCUGUGCAUUUCUCCUUAGUAAAUGUGGUGGCUUACACCUUUGGGAAACCGGUGCUGUGAGGAGAUGGCUGCUGCGAAGUUUGCCUGAGGAAAAGGCUGCAUUCGUUCUCCUGGGAAGAUUGUUUGCUGAAGGCUCCCUGAGCAUACAUUCUGAAAGCAAGGAACCUUGGUGAGAAGUGUGCCACUGGAACCUACCUAUGCAGGUAGGGGGAGCCAGCCAGACAAGUGACAGUGCAAGAGGGGCUUCCCAUGCGCCGUUUUAGUGGGCAAUGCUUGCUGCAGAUGAGGAAGUCAUGGAGUCGACAUCAUGAACCCAGGAAGUGGAGAACUGAUGGAGGAAUACAGCAGAUGUUUUCUGAAGAGUUAAGCCUGUUAUCAAAAUUUGGCUGGUACUGUGAAAUACAUGUAUGAGCAGAAGACUACUACAUCAUUUGAUAAGACUUUUACUCUUCCCCUUGUUAUGACAACUGUUCCUUGGGAGAACUUAAAGCCUUGUCUCAAAAACGAUUACUAGGAAGACCCUUCUCCUUCUCACUUUACAAUCUGUUGAGGUUUGAUUUGCAUAAGCAAAAAGAGUUGCUUCAGUUCUAAGAAGUGAAGAAGUACUUCAGGUAAAUAUUUUUAACUAUUAAGAAUAAAACAUAGAAAUAAAUAUAAACAUUUAUUUGUACAUUUGGUUCUGUUUGCAAAUCCUUU